UUGUUUCCUUUCUUUAUUUCUUCUAUUUCCAUUUUUAACUCCUUCACCUGUUUGACUAUGUUUUCCUGGAAUUCCUUCAGGGAUUUUUGUGAUUCCUCUCUAUAGGCUUCUACUUGUUUAUUUAUGUUUUCUUGUGUUUCUCUAAGGGAGUUCUUCAUGUCUUUCUUGAAAUCCUCCAGCAUCAUGUUCAAAUGUGAUUUUAAAUCUAGGUCAUGCUUUUUUGGUGUGUUGGGAUAUUCAGUGUUUUCUUUGGUGGGAGAAUUGUGCUCUGAUGAUGCCAAGUAGUCUUGGUUUCUGUUGCUUGGUUCCUGUGUUUGCCUCUCGCCAUCAGGUUGUCUCUAUUGUUACCUUGUUCUGCUAUUUCUGACAGUGGCUAGACAGUCCUAUAGGCCUGUCAGGAGUGCUGUAGACCUGUUUUCCUGUUUUCUUUCAGCCAGUUAUGGGAACAGAGUGUUCUGCUUUCGAGCGUGUAGUCUUUCCUGUCUACUGGUCUUCAGCUGUUCCUGUGGGCCUGUGUCCUGAGUCCACAAAGCAGGUUGCUUGGAGCAGAGAAGUUGGUCUUACCUGUGGUCCUGCAGCUCAAGUUGCUCAUGAGGGGCUGCUUUUGAGCUCUUGUUGCAGCUGUACAGAAUGUCAAGUCCCCUAUACCCAUUUUUCAAUCAGAAGAAUUUCGAUUGUCUGAGUCCGCUAUUUUUAUUUGAUCAAUAUUAUGACUAAAGCAACUGAGGAAGGAGAGAGAUUCUGCCAUCUUUAUUCUCACAAAACAUCCCAGAGGAAAAUCAGGACAUGAAGUCAAGGUGUCCUGUCCCAGGUGCAGCUGAAGGAGUCAGGACCUGGUCUGGUGCAGCCCUCACAGACUUUGUCUCUCACCUUCACUGUCUCUGGGUUCUCACUAACCAGCUAUCAUGUAAGCUGGGUUCGCCAG